UACAGGGGAUGCAAGUGUUAUUCGGAAUUAUUGGGUGUAAAGCGUCUGCAGGUUGAUAUUUAAGUCUUUUGUUAAAUCUUCGGGCUCAACCCGGAAUCUGCAAAGGAAACUAUUUAUCUUGAGUAUGGUAGAGGUAACGGGAAUUUCCAGUGGAGCGGUGAAAUGCGUAGAUAUUGGAAAGAACACCAACAGCGAAGGCACGUUACUGGGCCAUUACUGACACUCAGAGACGAAAGCUAGGGGAGCAAACAGG
rnacentral:rRNA from 1 species